CGGCCAAACCCACUCGGAGCCCGCGCCUGCGGGAUCGCCCUGCGCAUCCGUUGGAGCCGGGCGGCCAGGACUCUGCCCGUGCCUCCCGCAGGCGCCCGCCGUGUCCGCGCCACCCUCGGCCGCGGAGCCGCCUCUCCCCCCGCCUCUGCGGUCCCGGCCGGGCACUCCGGAAAGUUGCUAGGGCAGUGGAGGCGGGAGGGGAGGCAGGGAGGAGAGAGGCGGAGGCGUGGACCAGGCGGGCAGCAGCCGAGCCCGCCGGGGAGGUGAGCUGAGGACAGAGGAGCCGCCGCCGCCCGCAGCGCGGCUCGGCUGCCUGGGAGGAGAGUGCGGGGGCGGAGGUGGCGGGGGGGACAGAAGGUGUCAGCUCCUGCAGCUAUUCCUUUUUCUUGCAAACGCGCGCUCCUGACAUCCACCAUCCCUCCCUCCCCACCUGCCAAGCGCCGCGGCGUCCAGACCUGGUGGCAUCCCUCCUACUGACCCCCGUCCCCCAGGACAAGGGAAUAGGCGGCCACCGAGGACCCUGGGGUCUCACUAGAGCUGUGGUCCCCACCCGCCCCUAGACUCGCCUCGGUGCGCGCGGGCUGCAGCGCGAGCAGCCCUAGAGGCGGCGGUGGUUCCCGCCCGGGUAAAGGCUCCGCGGCGCUCGCCAGCGCCGGGAAAAAAGCCCGCGCCGCCUCCGCGCCCAGCAGCGCCCCGGCGCCCCAGCCGCCCCGGGUCCCGCUUUGGCCGGUGCGCGUCCACUCGGUGACCCCGGAGCAGCCCCGGGGCCGGAAGGGCGCGCGGGAGCCAGUCAGCCCCAGAAGACGCCCGAGGGGACCGGCUGUCGCGCUCCACCCGGCCCGGCCUCUCCGCCCCCGCCGCCCGCGCCCAGCCCGGCUCUUACCGCGGGGUCAGCCGGAAGGCGGCGGCCGCGGCUCUCGAGCUGCUCCUGGCCCUCUCCGGGCUCGGCGCCAGCCCGGCCGCCGGUACACACUCGCGCGGGUCCCGGCCCAGCGGCCCGGUCGGCGGUGGCCGCUGGAGCGCGGCGGGCGAGGGUCCCGGCAGGUCCCGCCGCCGCGACUGGGGUGCUGCGCCGCCGUCGCUGCAGACGGUUAUGGUAAUGAGCGGCUCUGUCUAGCGAGGAGCGUGUGAAACCCGUCAAUCCUGUUUGCCAUUUCCCCGUGGAUUUCCGAGGAGAGGUUCUGCAGGAUGCCCCCAGGAGAUCCUCCGACUGUGAAAAACCAAACCUCUUGCUGCCUGGCUCCCUAGGAAUCAAGAGGAGGCACAGACUGAAAAUCAGGGAGAAAAGGAACAAGAUCAAGGAUGAGGACUAGCAUCUGCAAAUUGAACCCUAUCUAAUUUGCAUGUUUAUUUCUUAGAAUUGUAAUUAAAUUUGUGUAAUAAAUGUUUUCCAUUUCAUUUGUACGCUUAAAAUUUGGGUGACUGACAUGCAGUUAAGUGAAUUUCUUUUUUUUAAAGCAAAUGUAGUUUAUUCAAUAAGGCAGCAAACAAAUAUUAAACAUAAUUAGAACUAAUCUGCUUUGAAGGUAUUUUUGCUGAACUUUGUACAUUAAAGACUCUCAGAGGUUUUAAGGGUAUUAGGAAGCUGAGAGAAGGCAAUUAUGCUGAAAACAGACUAACUCAACAGACUUCCAGGAGCACUAUUUCAUUUUUUCCAAAAGGCAUUUCAGGGUUGCAUGCCUAGGAUUGGGAAUUGGGCAUCCAUCUUGGCUUUAUUCUGAACCAGAUUAAAUUGCAUUGGCUCAUGCACGAUAUAUAGGCCAUUAUGAUGAUAAUUUAAGAAUUGUAAAGAUUCUACCCAGGUUAUGGAUAGAACGUAAUUUUCAUUUAGGUGGGGCGAGGAAAGGCAUAAGGGCAUUUAAAGCAGUGCAAGUACUUGAAAAUCUAAGUGUCUAAAACUGGUUAGUGCCUAACUCAAAUAAAGAACUAAAUGUGAGGGCUUGGAGGCAUGGCUUAUUAUUGUUUUUAUCUGCCUGUAUUAAAGUUUUAUAGCAUUUAAAGGACUAUGGGGAAAUCCCCACAUACCCUUAGCUGUGUCAAAAUACAUAAAACCAAAAGGAGCAAAUUAAGCAUAAAAUUGAGAAAAACAUGAGACUUAAGUAUCAGCAUGGGUUGCAUUGGCAUCUUUGGAGCCUUGGCUCUGAGAAAUGAGCCUUCUGGGAAACUGGCAUUGCCCUUGGGUGGGGAGGACUCUUGGCUUUAAUGUUAUGAGAAAAUGACAUCAUAACAGAAGUAUGAAAUCAUUUUACUUCACAGCACCCUUGUGGUUCUGAGUAAGAACUUGACCCUGUCCUGUUCAGAUAUGUUAGGUUAGCAUGUUUUACCGAAAGCUUUCCCUGGCCUACUUUUAAUCUCAAGCUUAAUGUUUGCAGAAAUUCAGGGCCCGACUGUUGACAACAGGAACUAAUGUCUACAGGCAGAGGAGGCAGUCAAAUGUCCGUGGAAUGAGAAACAUCAUUUAAAAAUUUCAACAUUCCAGGACCUGAAGACACUCCCAAGAUCCCCAAGCACCCAAACUGUUUCAUGCUGUCCUGCCUUCACUGAAAGUCCCCAGUACCAUGUUUUCAUCCAGGAAAUCUAUUUCAUGUCGUGAGGUUCUGGAAGGAAGUGGAGGUAAAUAUAUGUGCUUAAUUUGUCAUGUAUGAUCAGAAGUCUCUUUUGCUUCUUAAAGCUCCAUUCUAGGACUUCCCUUGUGGCACAGUGGUUAAAA